ensembl:lncRNA novel transcript
AUAUGCUAAAGAGAAGCCAUAAAAUGCUUCCUUUAAGUCAAAAUGUGAAAGUUUUGCACUGAUUAAGAAGAGAAAAAACAUCAUAUGCUGAGGAUGCUAAGUUCUAAGGCUGUAUGGGAAGCAUGGCUGGGGAGGCCUCAUGAAACUUAUAAACAUGGUGCAAGGUGAAGAGGAAGGAGACAUGCUUUACAAGGCCACAGCAGGAGGAAGACAGUGAAAGGGGCGGUGCUACACACUACAAACAACCAGAUCUUAUGAUAACAUUUACUUACUGCUUCACUGACAUAAGAACCAGCCCUCGAGAAGAAUAUACAGAGGAGUAGUUGCCAGCAACCUUCCUGCCAACUUGGCCCAAGACUGGAAGACGAUUUAAACUUCAAGCAGUAUUGACUUACCUAUGAAUCACUUAGUAUAUAUGAGCUUCUCAGAGAAGAAAUCAUAAACAUUGAGAGUUGCCAUGCAUAAUGAUGACCUUCAACACAUAUGAAAGAAAUCACCGAGGACUGGAAGUUGGCUGAUAGAACUGACAUCAGAAAGACCAUUCAAAACGAAGAGCCAGUGUCAAG